AGGAGAGGUGCUUCAGCCUUCUUUCCUGGCCCUCCUCUGGCCCUGUUCUGGUAGGUUCACAUCUUUCUGCUGCUGGAGACCCCAGAGCUGGAUGCAGCACUCCAGGUGGGGUCUCAUAAUGGCAGAAUACAGGGGGAGAAUCACUUCCCUUGACCUGUUGACCACACCUCUUUUGAUGGGAGUGCCUGCUCAGUGGAGAGCAGUGUUUGGCUGUGCGUGUGCUGUGUGCCUUUCUCCAUUUCAUCCAACAAAAAGGCAGAAGUUCUGGUUAUCUGCAGCCACUGAGAGACAUUUCAAGACAGAACUUCAUAAUUUAUCUAGCAGAUGCAUUGUGGAUAAUCUGUGAUUUUAAAUUGUCUGUAACAGUUAUGUUAAUUAGAAAAUGGCACAAAAGUUCUCAGCUCAAAGCAGAGUGGUUCAGAUUCACUGCUGGAAUAAAGAAAUCCCACUG